GGGCAAAAAUGUCAAAAACAAUGGCUCCCUUGUCCGAGAUAGUCAACGCCCUGCUUCUCAUUCAUCGGGCCGAUUCCCCCAGUCUCAGUCCCCGCAGAGUAGCAAGCAAUGGCCGCCCUCUUCUCCACCCUCCUCUUGGCCGCGCUCUUCGCCGUCGUCCCGUGGGUGCUCCGCCUGUUCCACUCCUUCCUGUGGGUCCCGCGCCGCUUGGAGCGCCGCUUCCGGAGGCAGGGUAUCCGGGGGCCCCCGCGCAGCCUGCUCUCCGGCAACGCGGCCGACUACCGCGCCAUGCUGGCCGCCGCCCGGUCCGCGCCCCUCGCCUCCUUCCACCACUCCAUCGUCGCCCGCGCCACGCCGCAGUACCGCGAUUGGCCCGCGCGCUACGGCCGGCCGUUCGUGUACUGGUUUGGGCUCCGCCCGCGGCUAGUGCUCUCCGACCCGGAGCUCGUGAAGGCCGUGCUGACCGACUCCACGGGGGCCUUUGAUAAGGCUGGUUCUGGCGGCAACAACCCGCUUGCCCGGCAGCUCAUCGGCGAGGGGCUGGUGGGGCUCUCCGGGGAGAAGUGGGCACGCCACCGCCGCGUGAUUGCGCCGGCGUUCAACAUGGAGAGAGUCAAGGCUUGGAUUCCAGAAAUAGCAGCUACCACCUCAUCCGUGCUGGAUAAAUGGGAGGUUCAAGGUGAACGCACUGAGUUUGAGAUCGAUGUCCAUAAAGGAUUCCACACUUUGAGUGCAGAUGUGAUUUCCUGUGUGGCAUUUGGAAGUAGCUAUGAGGAGGGAAAACGAAUUUUUCAAUUGCAAGAGGAACAGAUGAAACUUGCUCUUCUUGCAAUAAGGACUGUUUAUAUUCCUGGCUUCAGGUUUGUACCAACAAAGAAGAACCGAACAAGGCAGAGCUUAAACCAGGAAAUCCGAAGUUCGAUGCGCAAAUUGAUCGAGAUCAAUGGAAGGAAGUGUGAGGAUUCCAAAAAUUUGCUCGGGUUAAUGCUAUCAGCCAGUAAAGCUGGUAGCGAAUUUAAAAUGGGAAUUGAAGAGAUAAUUGAUGAGUGCAAGACAUUCUACUUUGCUGGGAAGGAAACAACAGCUAACUUGUUGACAUGGGCAACACUUCUUCUUGCAUUGCAUCAAGAGUGGCAAGAAAAGGCCCGCAAUGAAGUUCUCCAAGUGUGCGGAAAGUACGAGCACCCUAGCGCGGAAAACCUUAGCAAUCUCAAAAUUGUAACUAUGGUGUUAAAAGAAACCCUCAGGCUGUAUCCUCCAGCUGUGUUUAUCAAUAGGACUGCUACUAAGGAUGUCAAGCUGGGUAAACUAGACAUUCCAGCUAGCACGCGGCUUGACUUCCCUAUUAUCGACAUUCACCAUGACUUGGAUGUCUGGGGCUCCGAUGCAGAGGAGUUUAAUCCAUCAAGGUUUGCAGAUGGCAAGAGCUAUCACCUUGGUGCGUACUUCCCCUUUGGGAUCGGCCCUACAAUAUGCGUUGGCCAGAAUCUUGCAAUGGUUGAGGCCAAGGUGGCACUUGCAAUGACCCUUCAGCGAUUUGUGUUUGCUGUCUCGCCAUCCUACGUUCAUGCACCAAUGCUGGUGUUCACCCUCCAACCCCAGUAUGGUGCUCAAAUAAUUGUUCACAAGAUCUGAGUCUUCCAUGUGGCAACUAAUUGGGCUUAUGUAUCUUUGUGAGUAGUGUCUGAACGAGCCAAAGAGGCUUCUACGUGUUUCAAUCUAGUCUUUGAAAAACUUGUAUGAACUUAAUCUGUACAGGAAUUUGCUAAAGGCUACUAUCAACUGUUAUGCUGAUAGCAUAGAGUAUUUGUCUUGUACAAAAACCAAUCGGAACCUGCAUCAGUAUACCGAAAACAAGAUUUUGUGCAUGUCGAAAUUGUGAAUGAUCAGAUCCAAUCCCAACGAGGUUCUGGGUUACACAUAGGAUCAUCACCUAUGGCAUUUUCAGAGGUAAAGGAUCGAUUGCGCAAACAAAAAAGAAGCAAUCAGAGAGGAUGAAUGAUUGCGAAAUCUAAAUUUUAAUUCACCUUAAUCAAAAAUUCAAUUUAAUCUUGUAUUUAGUUCGGGACAGACUGCUAACAUGUCACUAAAUACGAUGUAUAGAAAGAUUUUGAGAAACUAAGUUGAAAUAUGUCUCGGUUUGCA